CUGUAUAUUAGAAAAGAACUGACUCGCAGGUUGUGCCUGAUAGACCUACUUAAAUCUUUAUUCUUUAUUCUUUCUGUUGCAUAGAAGUAUAAGUUUAUUACUCUGUUUUAUUGUAAGUUAUUUCACAUGGGAUCUGUGUGCCUGGUAUGAUUGUUACUUUAAUACCAUAAGCCCACUACACUUUCUAUGAGAGUGGGAUAGUGUAAAUGUGUUGCAUUGUUUGCAUGAUGAGCUCAGUAUUUUUAUAACUGAGACAAAAAGUCACUUCAUUAGUAUUUGAAAGUUAAUUCCCCAUAUGGGAUUAAUUGUAUAGAACACCAAUCAG